rnacentral:lncRNA from 1 species
UUUUACUAUUUGCACUCCCAAAUUCACUUUUUAACACUUAGUCCGAUGGUCCAAAAUAAUCCAACACUUUUUUACUUCUUAACCACCUACUUUUCUUAUUGCACCCCACUCUCCACAUCACCUUCCACGUCACCCUCCACAUCACCUACCUUUUUCAUUUACUAUUACAUUUUUUAUAUAUUUAUUUUUUAUUUAAUUUUUUUUCCAACUUUUCUAAUUUUUCCACUUACCUUUUUUAAUUAUAGUUUAUUUCACUUAAUUUCUCCAUCCACUUUUUAUAUUUCUUUCACUUAUUUUCCAUGUUAGCUUUUAUUAUUUACUAUAUUUUAUUUCACUUACUUUCUCUACCCACUUUUUAUAUUAUUUCUUUUACUUAUUUUCUAUAUUAACUUUUACUAUUUACUAUAUUUUAGUUCACCUACUUUCUCGACCAACUUUUUAUAUUAUUUCUUUCACUUAUUUUUCAUGUUAAAUUUCACUAUAAACUAUAUUUUAUUUCACCUACUUUCUUCACCAACUUUUUAUAUCAUUUCUUUCACUUAUUUUCAACAUUAACUUUUUCUAUUCACUUUUUUUAUUAUAUUUUAUUUCACCUAAUUUCUGCACCCACUUUUAUAUUAUUUCUUUCACUUAUUUUCCACAUUAGCUUUUACUAUUUACUAUAUUUUAUUUCCCCUAAUUUCUCCACCAAUUUUUUAUGUUAUUUCUUUUACUUAUUUUCUACAUUAACUUUUUCUAUUCACUUUUUUUAUUAUAUUUUAUUUCACAUAAUUUCUCCACCCACUUUUAAUAUUAUUUCUUUUGAUUAUUUUCCAACUUUUUCUAUUUUUCCUCCCACUUUUUAAAAAUUUAUAUUUUAUUCAACACUUUCUCUAAUCUUAACUCUAUAAAUACCCACAUGCUCUUUACUCAAUUUUUUACUUACACACACAUCUCUUUUCUACCACUCCAUCAUUCUUCAACAACAUAUCCCCUAUUCCUUCAUACCAUUAUUAUUCCCUAUUAUUACCUUAAUUCCAUCAAUCUUAUCAUAUUAUCUUCAUUCUCAAUUCUCCCUCUCCAUACUGCACCAUCAUCAAACACUUCAACACUUCCCUUCUCCUCCAUAUUACCAUCUCCAUAAGCUUCCAUUCUUACCGACAUCUUAAUUGGACUAUUUUUGUUUUCUCCAUCCAGGUUUUUAUUCCUUCACCUCCCUUUUUC